CUGGCAACAAAUGGCCACAAACCGAUCAAAGGUGAAAGUGACGGUGAACCAGACCGAGCAGUCAGUGGCUGCAUAAAGCAGGACGGCGUGGAUAUUACACACGGGGACGGAGUACUCCAGGAAAUAAAACUGUUCCCAAUAAACAAUGGGAAUGUGUCUCAGGAUCAGGUCGAGGAUAAUGACCAGGAGAUCCGCCGCUGCCAUGGCCCCCAGGUAUCUGUGUUAGCUGUCUGGAUACAGAAUUGGCUGACAAGCAGAAGACAGCGAGUGAUAGUGGAAGGAAAAUAAUUUGCCUGGAAGUCUGUGGGCCAUAUAAACAUAUCUUCAAAUCGACCGAGACCAUUUUCUGCUAAGGGUAUGGCUCUGUGUAUGACAGCAGCAAUGAUGCACCGACAUGGAACAGGGAAUGUGAUGGAGACAUAGUUUGGACAAUGUACAAGGAGACCUCACAUGGUCCAGUUUGGGAGAGAAUGACAUUAUUGUGUGAUUCAACUCAGAGAGGGAGAAAACGUCAUCUACCCGAGAAGAAACGGCCUAUUGCACUCUCUCUCCUUCAUUACUCCCCAUCACAGUAACGUGUACGAGCUAAAACAAAGCUCUACUGUCAUCGUUACCAUUCUUAUUUUUGUAAAUUCCCUGCAGUGUGGAAACAAGCCCUUCGGCCCAACAAGUCCAUACUAACCCUCCAAAGAGUAACCUUCUCAUGCCCUUACAGUUACCACUGACUAUUGCACCUGAAGUAGAAAUCGCUGAACAGCAUGGUCUAUUUGACCAAUCCACUUGAAUUAUACAGCUUUGGGCGGAAACAGGAGCACCCAUCAGAAGCUCACGCAGACCAUGGGAGAAGAUGCAAACUCCACGCAGAUAGUCGCCCGAGGCUGGAAUUGAACCCAUGUCCCUGAUGCUGUGAUGGAACAGUACGAACUACUGAGCCACUGUGCUAACCUGGAACCUCCUGACUGCCUAAUGCAAAGGGAAUUCAGCCAAAUCCAACUCUCCCAGGAUAAAAUCCCAUUGCUAGCGGCUGUGUGAGUAAAUUAUCUUCAGAAGCAGAAUAACAUUUUGGACAAACUCUCAAUUUUUCCUUUUUGUCAUUAGUUACACUAAUAUUUGGACAAGGUUCUUUCAAUGUGAAAUUGCAGAGAUUUUGUUUAUUUUGCGUGUGUGUGUGUGUGUCUGUGUGUCAGUGUUUUUAGAACGUGAAAUAUCGAGUCUUUAUUUGCAAACAGUUUGCCAUUCAGCAUUCCAUCAUAGUUAGAGUAAUGUUGCUCUGGAUCAGAAACGUGCGAUUUUAGCAGAUUAAAGAAACCAGCCUGAUUCGUUCCUAAAACUGACCCUGACCCAGUCUGAGACUGAUAUCAUCGGCCAUAUCACCGACUUUGUUGCAUUUAAAAUUUGUUGUGAGCAGUGGAGGAGUGGGACGAGAAAAGGGACAGGUGAGCCAGAUGUCGGUGGUGGGUGAGCUGUUGGAGGGGAUUCUGAGGGAUAGCAUUUACAUACAUUUGGGAAGGCAAGGGAUGAUCAGGUUAUUCAACAUGGCUUUCUGCAUGGGAAAUCAUGUCUCAUUAAUUUGAUUGAGUUUUAUGAAGAGGUGACAAAGAAGAUUGAUGAAGGCAGUUUGGUAGACAUUGUCAGUAUGGUCCUCAGCAAGAUGUUCAUAACAUUCUGAUUGGUAGGCAGAUUAGUAAGGUUCGGUCACAUGGGAUACAGAAGAAGCGAGUCACAGUUGGCUUGAAGGAAGAGAGGUAUUUUUCAGACUGGAGGCUUGUGAGCAGAAGUUAUACACUUAAUGGUGAGGGCCUGGUGAGUGUUGUGAAACAAAUGGACAUAGGGCUGCAGGUACAUUGUUCCUUGAAAGUGGAGUCGAAUGCAGACAGUGCGAUGCAGAACACUUUUACAGGUUUGCCUUAAUCAGUCAGAACAUUGAGUAUAGGAGUUGUGGUGGCAUGUUGUAUCUGUACAGGAUGUUGGUGAGGCCACUUUAAGAAUACUGCGUACAACUCAGUUUCCUGCAGAAAAUAUUUACAUGGAUGUCCCAGGACUGGAGGUUUGAGCUUUAGGGAGAGGUUGAUCAGUUUGCGGUGUUUCCCCCUGGAGUGUCAGAGGCUGAAGGAUGACAUUACAGAGGUUAAUAAAAUCAUCAGGGGCAUGGAUAUUGUGAACAGUCAUGUUCCGCUCCCCAGGGUAGGGGAGUCCAGAACAGGAGAGCGUAGGUUGGAGGGGAGAGGGCGAAUGAUUUAGAAGGGACCUGAAGUUAAAUGUUUCACACAGAGAGUGGUGUGUGUACAUAAAGUGCUGUCAGAGGAAGUGGUGAAGGCAGUUACAAUCGCACAUUUAAAAAGUAUCUGAAAGAGGAGAAAUAUUGGCCAAAUGCUGGUAAAUGGGACUGGAUCAGAUUUGAUAGCUGAUCGGAGUGAACAGAUUGGACUAACGGGUCUGUUUCUAUUCUGCAUGAUUCUGAUUCUAUAAGAGGGAUGACAAAAAAUUCUGGAAGUACCUUUCAAAUCCGAAUCCUCUUCACUGGAAGUUUAUCAUGCCCCUAUGUUCACAUUGAUUGAAAGUUGCGUUACUGAAAUAUUUGACAGAGAACUGAGUCAUGGAUAAUGUGACGCAGACAGGAAAGUGGGGCUGAGACCCCAACCUGAUCAGCCACAAGCUUAGUGCCUGGUGGAGAAGGCUCAAAGUGUCUAACGACUCACUCCUGUCCCUCAAUCCCGUGUUCCUGUGCUCCAUUCAGGCCCCUAAACCUGUUAGGCAGGAGCAUUUAGAGGCUACUUACUUCUAUAACCUGGUGCACAGAAACAGAGGAGAUCAUUCGGCCCUUCAAGACUGUCCCACAUACUUUGAGGUGAUUUGAGAAAUGUAAUUAGAAAAUCCAGGCUGGGUAUGAAAGAGGCCCCUCAUCUCUCUUUACUGAGCUUCCCCUCUCUGCAACUUGUGCUCCAUUUGUUGGUCAUGUUGUAGACCCAAAUUCACUGUGAAUACAGCUCCCAUACAUCACCCAGCGAUGGCUCACAAAAUCCUUUGGUCUCCCUGACGGCAACACUUAAUACCAAAACAUUCAUAAAAACAACACACACUAACUUUCCAAUAACAAAAUGUGAGGACAUCAGACAAUGUUCAGAAUAAUUUGACGUCCCCAUCAGCUUCUGAACUGGUCUGUGUCCAUGUGCAGCAAGACAUGGACUCCAUUGAGGCUUGUGCUUUUAAAGAGUCCGUAACAUUCAUAUAAAGGACUGUCUGACACUGCACAUUGCCACAGUAAAAUAAGAGAUCAUUCCGCACCACACACUGGUUUCACAGGAAUAUGAGGAAAUCGUUCAGCCCAUUGACACUAUUGGGGAAGAACAGGGACAGCCCAUCAGUGCCUCCAGCCUAUUACUCAGGAUGAGAAGGAUUCUAGGGUGAUGGGCCACACCAGAGCCCCUCGAUAAUAUUUGAAGGUGGUAGCCUAGACUCUACUAUUUUCUUAUUUUAAAGAAAAUAUAAAGUGUCUGUUCCAGAUGCAAUGUGACUGGUCAAACAACUCGGUAUGCAGGAUAACACUAUUUACUUAAACGCGAUAGAUAAAAUAAAACCAAAGAAAGAGGAAUUUAGAAAAAUGCAAUUAUAUUGGACAAGUUAACAGAAUAAGAGAUCUAGGGACUAUUACUAAUGAACUGUUCCAAUACUGGAAAAUCACAUGAACACAACCCUUGGCAAAAAAGGAAUAUUCAGACACUGAAUGACACAAAUUUUUCUCCAAUUCAGAAUUUAAAAACAGCACCAAGAGAACUUUCAUACAGAGUAGCAGCCAGGAGACAUUUACUUUAGCUUUCAACUCGGUGGAGACCCCAAUAAUUUCUGAUGUUACUGAGAGAUCAAAACCCAGAAAUCCUAAUCUGUGAGAGCUGACCAUACCCAUUCCAUCUGCAUUAAAAUAAACCUAAGGCCUCCCUAGCUGUUACUCAAGUGGUCCUAACUAGCCAGCUUGGUAACGGUCAUUCAAUCUCUCUCGUAAAAGAAACCAUAACAAAAUAACGUCUAAAAGCUACAGCAUCAUCACACUAGUCAGCACAUCGAGCUGUCAUACAGGAACCAGGGGUAACCAAUCAGGCCCUUGGCCCUGUCCAAUCGGACGGGGAAGAAGCCAGUCAGUCCCUUGAGUCACUUAUACAGGAACAGGAGGAGGCCAUUCCCAUAUCAAUGCACUUACACAGGGACAGAAUGAGGUCAUUGAUGCUGAUUCCUGAUGAAUGUCUUAUGCUCGAAACAUCGAUUCUCCUGCUGUGCUUUUCCAGCAAACCACUGUCUUCUCUAAUCUCCAGCAUCAACAGUCCUCGCUGUCUCCUAACUGAUGCUCUAACAUGAUGACCAAGUGGAGCAAAGUUGCAUAGACAGACUGCUCCACGUUGUUCCUCGUAGCUCCGUCUGUCAUGAUACACACGUGGGACUUUAACGUGGUUUUCUAGUGGUGAGGAGGGAAGCCAUAUGUCUUGUGUGAAGGCACCUUCGAUCUCCAAGAUGACAACCUGGUGUUCUCUGUGUAGGGUGGAAGCUGGUGGGAAUGGCUACCUGCUUCAUAUGGAAGGUGUUGUGGCUGCUGUUGGGGAUUGUGAGCAACCUGACGUUCAGUACGGGUUCACACGCCGACUGCACAAUAAGGUGGGGAAAGUUAAUUAAGGCAUAUAAACUAUUAGGACAGUCACGUUAGACUGAUGAAUGGACUCUCUAAGAUCAAGUAAUGCUGGUCUGGUUCAUGUUGAUCUUGUCUAGUGCACGUCCUGAUCAGUGUAACCCGUGUGCCUUACUCUGUCCAAGUCUAUUUCCACCCUAUGAUCUGUCUGGCCAUGUUUACUAUGAUCUGCCUCCACUGCUCAUAAAUAAAGUGUUUCCCUGUACUGAGGUACUCGUGGCAAUAAAUCAAACCAAUCAAUCCUGGGUAAAGUAUGGAAUUUCUGUUUUGGCAAUAAGAGACCCCUGCCACUCCUCAUGUUUCAGCAUCACCAUUUUUUCGUCUGUCACACUCUACAGGUUAAACACUCAGCUUCUUCACUCUAUCCUCAUGUUACCAUCAUCUGUGUCUAUGGUACGGGAACCAUUCCUUACAAAGGACAUCAAAUCUGUACAGAAUGCCCCAAAUGCUCUCUCAGCAAGGUUCUACAACAGCUGAAAGAUGGCAAUACUUAUGUACUCGAAUCAUCAUACAAUGAAGGACAGCAUGCCAUUGACUGCACCCAUUACUUACACAGGGUUUGAUUCGGAGCAGUCAGCAUAGACUUGUGAGUGGGAGAUCAUGCUCCCCAAAUUUCUUAGAGUCCUUUGAUGAGAUUUGAUAAGUUUCCACACGGCAGGCUGCUCAGGAAGGUUCCAACACGUAGAAUGCGUGGGAACUGUCCAAUUGGAUACACAGUUGGCUUGAUGGUAGGAAGCAGAGGGUUUCAUGGAAGGAUACUUGUCAGACCGGAGACUUGGUCGAUUGCUGUUUGGUAUAUAUGAUUUGGUUGAGAAUGUACAAGGUAUGAUUAAUAAGUUUGCAGAUGACACUAAAGUAAGUGGGAGCAUGAUCGGUGAGGAAUAUUAUCAGAAAUUGCAGCAGGACCUUAAUCAGUUGGGGAAAUGGGCCAAGAAAUGGAAUUUAAUAUAGAAGCGUGAGGUCUUGCAUUUUGGAAAUUCAAAUUAAGGUAGGAGUUUCAUGGUGAAUGGGAGGGCCUUAAGGGGUGCAGGGGGCAGAGAGACCUUGGUGCCCUGGUGCACGGUUCCCUGACAGUCGAGUCACAGGUAGACAGGGCAGUGAAGAAGGCAUUUGGCACAAUGGCCUUUAUCAGGCAGGAUAUUGAGUAUAGAAAAUGGGAAUUUAUGUUGCAGUUAUACAGGGCUUUGGUAAGGCCGCACUUGGAGUAUUGUGUUCAGGUUUUUUCACUUUGUUUAAGGGAGGAUGUUAUUAAAUUAGAAAGAGUACAGAAAAACUUUACAAGGAUGUUGCCAGGACCCAAAGUUCUGAGUUAUAGGGAGAGGUUGGACAAGAUAGGACAUUUUCUUUAGCGUGUAGGAGACUGGGGGAGUUGUUAUAGAGCUGUAUAAAAUCACGAGGGGUAUGGAUAGGGUUAAUGCUCUCAGUCGUUUUCCAAGGUGUAGAGAAUCGAGGACGAGAGAGGAUCAGUUUAACGUUAGAAGGAAAGGAAUAAAAGGGAACCUGAGGGGCCACUUCUUUCCUCAGAGGCUGGUACGUGGAUGAGCUACUCGCAGAUGUAGUUGAGGGGAGUACAUUAACAACAUUUCAAAUGCAUUUGGAUAAAUAUUUGGGUAGGAAAGGACUGGAAGGAAAUGGGCCAACUGCAGGGAAAUGGGGUGAGCGUGGAUGGACAUUAAUAAGGUGGAGUCGAACCCCUCUGUUAAUUAAAACCAAACACCCAGAAAAGCUCACCUCACCUCGUAAUCUGUUAAAAUAUGAGCGAUACAGACCUCCUUUUAAACAAAAAUUAACAAGUUAGUUUCUUAACCUUAAUAGUGAACACCAUUCACAAAUACAAGUCCCUCUUUUCUCAGCUACUUGCUAUGUGACUCGAACUCUGUAAAAAUAUGCUGUUCCAACAACCCACAUAUUAAACAUUACAAUCUCAAGACCUUACAGUCUCUAUCUUCCCCGUUGUCUUCACUCUUUCAGCUGCUGAUCUCCCUGGGUCAUUUUUUUAAUGCAAGUAGGUUUGACAUGAACAUGUGUCUUUGAGAGAGAGUGUUUGAGAUGGCCAGUUAGCACUCCUGCUCUACAGCAGUUGCUCUUCUGUUGGAUGGCAGCAGCUCUCCCUCCAGUGUUCAACAUGCUGGGUUCAUAUACUCCCCAUGAUAUAUUAAUUCUCAUAAUUUGAUUGCUGUCCAGGUGUCCACACAAUAAUAUUCAAAUUCUGUUGGCAUCUGGUAUCCUGAGCGUUAUUUAAACUCUUUGGUUACAUUUGAAUGGCUGUCAAAAAAGCAACCAAAACUCAGGAAUCCAUUUCUGCGCUAAUGUUGACAUGUGGAACAAUGUGACCUUCAGCUGGCAUCUGUGGCUUUAAUUUCUAUUCAGCAAAACCUGAUCUGCCUUAAAGUGUCCAUACAUGUUUUUGUCUUCAUAACAUCUCCCCGCUUCAGAAAAUAAAAUUAACUAGCAGAAUGAAAAGAUGGCGACAUUUGUUUUCCUCUAACUCUUAAUCCCAAUUUUAUGAAAUACCAAAGUGUUAAUCUCAGUUAUAUCAUUCAUAUUAAUUCUGUACACCAAUACAACACUGGAAUAAGUCAAAACUUAGCUACACUUUUUCCUUUCAAUCCACGAAAACACAUCUGCUAUCACAUUAUAGGAGCCACAGCAUGUACAUUUUGUAAGUUUAAAGUCGGUAAGGUAAGACUCCAAUGAAAUAGUCUCAUAUUCUGGUCUUUAAAUAUUCUAAAAAACGCGAGAGAUUUGUCGUUGUCAACAACCAUCUCCGACAAUUUGUUUGACAUAUACACAUUAAAAUAUUGUCAGGCCAGUGUGGAACUUAAUCAUUCUUGUUCAAUAAGUAACCUAUCGGGGUCUCCAUUUUAAUUUUAUGAUUUUAUCUUUAAGUUAAUAACGUUCAACAAUAUAUUCUGAUUCAUUUUCUGUGUGUGUGCAUGUGUAUGUGUGUGUAUAUAUCUCUGUUGUACGUCCAUUAGCCUUUCAGGACGGAACACCUCUGCCUGUUCAGGUUUUUCCUGCACCGUUACAUCAAACAGGGUGUGAGUUCACUGAGCAUCAACUCAUUUGUCUUUUUCGUUCGUUUUUCCUUCCUGCUGUAACUUAUGACAGUGGGAUCUUGUUACUACACAGUCUGGAAAAAAUCCUGGAUAAUUUUCUUUUAACUCACCAAUUCCCUCAUCUUCCUUUGGCUUCUCCACCACAAGGUCUGCCUCUCACACCUCGCCUCCUGCUAAAUCGUUCCCAAGAACAAACUGCAUUCCUAGAACAGACACUCUGUUACUCACUGUCACAGUUACUUCCCCAAUCUUGAUUUGGCAUUCCUUCCUGCUGGAAUGCUUAACUUCUGUCCCCAUUUCACAAGUUAUCACGCUCUUGAUUAACAUGUCAGAAAGAGUGAAAAAAACUUUCAUCUCGUACUAUUAGAGGGAGAGAGAAAGUGAGGGCGGCAGAUGCUGGAGAUGAGAGUUGAAAAGUGUGGGGCUGGAAAAGCACAGCAUGUCGGCAGCAUCCAAGGGGCAGGAGCAUUGACGUUUCAGGCAUACGUCCU